AACGAACGCUGGCGGCAUGCCUAACACAUGCAAGUCGAACGAGACCUUCGGGUCUAGUGGCGUACGGGUGCGUAACGCGUGGGAACCUGCCCUUAGGUACGGAAUAACUCCCCGACAGGGGUGCUAAUACCGGAUAAUGUCUUCGGACCAAAGAUGUAUCGCAUCUGGAUGGGCCCGCGUUGGAUUAGCUAGUUGGUAGGGUAAAAGCCUACCAAGGCGACGAUCCAUAGCUGGUCUGAGAGGAUGAUCAGCCACACUGGGACUGAGACACGGCCCAGACUCCUACGGAAGGCAGCAGUGGGGAAUAUUGGACAGUGGGCGAAGGCCUGAUCCAGCAAUGCCGCGUGAGUGAUGAAGGCCUUAGGGUUGUAAAGCUCUUUUACCCGGGAUGAUAAUGACAGUACCGGGAGAAUAAGCUCCGGCUAACUCCGUG
rnacentral:rRNA from 1 species